GACCCCAUCGUCUAGUGGCCUAGGACAUCGCCCUUUCACGGCGGUAACACGGGUUCGACUCCCGUUGGGGUCG
rnacentral:tRNA from 1 species